rnacentral:rRNA from 1 species
AGAGUUUGAUCAUGGCUCAGAUUGAACGCUGGCGGCAGGCCUAACACAUGCAAGUCGAACGGUAGCAGGAAGUGCUUGCACUUCGCUGACGAGUGGCGGACGGGUGAGUAAUGCUUGGGAACUUGCCUUUGCGAGGGGGAUAACAGUUGGAAACGACUGCUAAUACCGCAUAAUGUCUACGGACCAAACGGGGCUUAGGCUUCGGCGCAGAGAGAGGCCCAAGUGAGAUUAGCUAGUUGGUGGGGUAAAGGCUCACCAAGGCGACGAUCUCUAGCUGUUCUGAGAGGAAGAUCAGCCACACUGGGACUGAGACACGGCCCAGACUCCUACGGGAGGCAGCAGUGGGGAAUAUUGCACAAUGGGGGAAACCCUGAUGCAGCCAUGCCGCGUGUGUGAAGAAGGCCUUCGGGUUGUAAAGCACUUUCAGUUGUGAGGAAAAGUUAGUAGUUAAUACCUGCUAGCCGUGACGUUAACAACAGAAGAAGCACCGGCUAACUCCGUGCCAGCAGCCGCGGUAAUACGGAGGGUGCGAGCGUUAAUCGGAAUUACUGGGCGUAAAGCGCACGCAGGCGGUUUGUUAAGCUAGAUGUGAAAGCCCCGAGCUCAACUUGGGAUGGUCAUUUAGAACUGGCAGACUAGAGUCUUGGAGAGGGGAGUGGAAUUCCAGGUGUAGCGGUGAAAUGCGUAGAUAUCUGGAGGAACAUCAGUGGCGAAGGCGACUCCCUGGCCAAAGACUGACGCUCAUGUGCGAAAGUGUGGGUAGCGAACAGGAUUAGAUACCCUGGUAGUCCACACCGUAAACGCUGUCUACUAGCUGUUUGUGGCUUUAAGCCGUGAGUAGCGAAGCUAACGCGAUAAGUAGACCGCCUGGGGAGUACGGCCGCAAGGUUAAAAC